rnacentral:rRNA from 1 species
UACGGGGGGGGCAAGCGUUGUUCGGAAUUACUGGGCGUAAAGGGCUCGUAGGUGGCCAACUAAGUCAGACGUGAAAUCCCUCGGCUUAACCGGGGAACCGCGUCUGAUACUGGAUGGCUUGAGUUUGGGAGAGGGAUGCGGAAUUCCAGGUGUAGCGGUGAAAUGCGUAGAUAUCUGGAGGAACACCGGUGGCGAAGGCGGCGUCCUGGACCAACACUGACACUGAGGAGCGAAAGCCAGGGGAGCAAACGGG